CGGGAUGUAGCGCAGCUUGGUAGCGCACCUCGUUUGGGACGAGGGGGUCGCAGGUUCGAAUCCUGUCAUCCCGA
rnacentral:tRNA from 1 species